CCUACGGGUGGCAGCAGUGAGGAAUAUUGGUCAAUGGACGAGAGUCUGAACCAGCCAAGUAGCGUGAAGGAUGACUGCCCUAUGGGUUGUAAACUUCUUUUAUAUGGGAAUAAAACGUUCCACGUGUGGGAUUUUGUAUGUACCAUAUGAAUAAGGAUCGGCUAACUCCGUGCCAGCAGCCGCGGUAAUACGGAGGAUCCGAGCGUUAUCCGGAUUUAUUGGGUUUAAAGGGAGCGUAGGUGGAUUGUUAAGUAAGUUGUGAAAGUUUGCGGCGCAACCGUAAAAUUGCAGUUGAAACUGGCAGUCUUGAGUACAGGAGAGGUGGGCGGAAUUCGUGGUGUAGCGGUGAAAUGCUUAGAUAUCACGAAGAACUCCGAUUGCGAAGGCAGUUCACUGGACUGCAACUGACACUGAGGCUCGAAAGUGUGGGUAUCAAACAGGAUUAGAUACCCGGGUAGUC
rnacentral:rRNA from 1 species